UACGGAGAGUGCAAACGUUGUUCGGAUUCACUGGGUUUAAAGGGAGCGUAGGCGGACUUUUAAGUCAGUGGUGAAAGCUUGCAGCUUAACUGUAAAAUUGCCAUUGAAACUGAAAGUCUCGAGUAUGGUUGAGGUGACUGGAAUAUAUCAUGUAGCGGUGAAAUGCUUAGAUAUGAUAUAGAACACCAAUUGCGAAGGCAGGUCACUAAACCAUAACUGACGCUGAGGCUCGAAAGCGUGGGGAUCAAACAGG
rnacentral:rRNA from 1 species